GGGACAUUUUCGAGCAAGAUGGCAAGGGGGACAGUGGCUGCGUACCUGCAUGGAGUCCUUCUCGUGACUUUGUGGAAACCUUCGCUGCAAGGCGGUGUUUACAUACCUACUGGUGGAGCUGCAGCUGGUGCUGGACCUGUACCUGGAUUUGGACCAGGUGGGACUGGAACAGGAUUUGGUCCUGGAAGUGCUGGAACAGGUUAUCAGCGUGGUGGAGAAGCUGGACCAGGAGGAACUGGUGCUGGUUUAGGAAGCUUUGGGCCAGGAGCUGGUGGAGCUGGCUUUGGUGGUCAAAGACCAGGAGGUGUCGGACCAGGAGGUGUCGGACCAGGAGGUGUUGGACCAGGAGGGUUUGGACCAGGAGGUGUCGGACCAGGAGGGGUCGGACCAGGAGGGUUUGGACCUGGAAGUGUUGGACCAGGAGGUUUCAGGCCAAGCACCUUUGGUCAAGGCAGUGGAGGUGUCUAUGGUGGUCUGGGACCGGGUGGAACUGGGACAGGUGGUUUUGAGCCAAGUGGUGUUGGUCGUGGAAGUUAUGGAACUGGAGCUGUAGGCAGUGGUACCGCUGGCCAAGGAACAGGUGGCUAUGGGGGGUAUGGAGGAUAUGGACCAACUGAUGGAACUGGCCCCAAACCACCGAAAACAGGUGGUGUUGGAACAACAUUUGGUGGAACUGGUUAUGGGCCUGGGGGUGCAGGAGUCGGGCCUGGUGGUGCAGGAUAUGGACCUGGCAGUGCAGGAUAUGGACCUGGCGGUGCAGGGUAUGGGCCUGGUGGUGCAGGAGUUGGGCCUGGUGGUGCCGGAUUCGGGCCUGGUGGUGCAGGGUAUGGGCCUGGCGGUGCAGGAGUCGGGCCUAGUGGUGCCGGAUUCGGGCCUGGCGGUGCAGGAGUCGGGCCUGGUGGUGCCGGAUUCGGGCCUGGUGGUGCAGGGUAUGGGCCUGGCGGUGCAGGAUUCGGGCCUGGUGGUACAGGAGUCGGGCCUGGCAGUGCAGGAGUCAGGCCUGGCGGUGCAGGGUAUGGGCCUGGUGGUGCAGGAGUUGGGCCUGGCGGUGCAGGGUAUGGGUCUGGUGGUGCAGGAGUCGGACCUGGCGGUGCAGCAGUAGGGCCAGGCGGGGCAGGAGUCAGGCCUGGCGGUGCAGGAUUUGGGCCUGGCGGUGCAGGAGUCGGGCCUGGCGAUGCAGGAGUUGGGCCUGGCGGUGCAGGAGUCGGGCCUGGCGGUGCAGGAUUUGGGCCUGGUGGUGCAGGAGUCGGGCUUGGUCAAGGUGGAGCUGCUGUCCCAGGAAGAGGUUCACUACUUCCACAAACUGGUACAACUGGAGCAGGGCAUGGUGGGAAGAGUGGUGGAAAAGCAUCGAAACAAAUUCCAGGAAUUGGAGUACCUGGACUCUACCAAGGUGGAUUUGUACCAGGACAAGGCUUUGGAGGCAGAGGUGUUCUCCCCGGAGUGGCCACAGGAUCAGGAUUGGGGUCUCAGACUGGUAUAAAAAUAUUUCAAUAUUCAUGCAUCCUGGAAUAUCCCCUUGUGGGAUAAAAAAAAAAACAUAAUACAACAUUGCUUUAAUC
rnacentral:lncRNA from 1 species